rnacentral:rRNA from 1 species
UACGUAGGGGGCGAGCGUUGUCCGGAUUCAUUGGGCGUAAAGAGCUCGUAGGCGGCUUGGCAAGUCGGGUGUGAAAACUCCAGGCUCAACCUGGAGACGCCACCCGAUACUGCCAUGGCUUGAGUCCGGUAGGGGACCACGGAAUUCCGGGUGUAGCGGUGGAAUGCGUAGAGAUCCGGAAGAACACCGGUGGCGAAGGCGGUCUGCUGGGCCAAGACUGACGCUGAGGCGCGACAGCGUGGGGAGCAAACAGG